rnacentral:rRNA from 1 species
AAUCAACGCUGGCGGCGUGCCUCAGACAUGCAAGUCGAACGCGAAAGUCCCCUUCGGGGGACAAGUAGAGUGGCGCACGGGUGAGUAACACGUAGGUAAUCUACCUUUGGAUGGGGAAUAACAACCGGAAACGGUUGCUAAUACCGCAUAAUGCAGCGGCACCUAAUGGUGACAGUUGUUAAAGCGGGGAUCGAAAGACCUCGCGUCUGAAGAGGAGCCUGCGGCGGAUUAGCUAGNGGUAGGGUAACGGCUUACCAAGGCGACGAUCCGUAGCCGGCCUGAGAGGGCGGUCGGCCACACUGACACUGACAUACGGGUCAGACUCCUACGGGAGGCAGCAGUCGGGAAUUUUGGGCAAUGGGCGAAAGCCUGACGCAGCAACGCCGCGUGGGGGAUGACGG